rnacentral:rRNA from 1 species
ACAUCCAGAGAAUUUAGCAGAGAUGCUUUAGUGCCUUCGGGAACUCUGAGACAGGUGCUGCAUGGCUGUCGUCAGCUCGUGUUGUGAAAUGUUGGGUUAAGUCCCGNAACGAGCGCAACCCUUAUCCUUUGUUGCCAGCACGUAAUGGUGGGAACUCAAAGGAGACUGCCGGUGAUAAACCGGAGGAAGGUGGGGAUGACGUCAAGUCAUCAUGGCCCUUACGAGUAGGGCUACACACGUGCUACAAUGGCGCAUACAAAGAGAAGCGACCUCGCGAGAGCAAGCGGACCUCAUAAAGUGCGUCGUAGUCCGGAUUGGAGUCUGCAACUCGACUCCAUGAAGUCGGAAUCGCUAGUAAUCGUAAAUCAGAAUGUUACGGUGAAUACGUUCCCGGGCCUUGUACACACCGCCCGUCACACCAUGGGAGUGGGUUGCAAAAGGAGUAGAUAGCUUAACCUUCGGGAGGGCGUUUACCACUUUGUGAUUCAUGACUGGGGUGAAGUCGUAACAAGGUAAGCGUAGUGCU